rnacentral:rRNA from 1 species
UACGUAGGGGGCAAGCGUUGUCCGGAUUUACUGGGCGUAAAGAGCGUGUAGGCGGUCAGACAAGUCUGCUGUGAAAACUCGAGGCUCAACCUCGAGCUGUCGGUGGAAACUGUCUGGCUAGAGUCCGGAAGAGGAGUGUGGAAUUCCUGGUGUAGCGGUGAAAUGCGCAGAUAUCAGGAGGAACACCAAUGGCGAAGGCAGCACUCUGGGACGUGACUGACGCUGAGACGCGAAAGCGUGGGGAGCAAACAGG